CCUACGGGAGGCAGCAGUAAGGAAUAUUGGUCAAUGGACGCAAGUCUGAACCAGCCAUGCCGCGUGAAGGAUGAAGGUCCUCUGGAUUGUAAACUUCUUUUAUAGGGGGCGAAAAAAGGGAAUUCUUUCUCACUUGACAGUACCCUAUGAAUAAGCACCGGCUAACUCCGUGCCAGCAGCCGCGGUAAUACGGAGGGUGCAAGCGUUAUCCGGAUUCACUGGGUUUAAAGGGUGCGUAGGCGGAUAGGUAAGUCAGGGGUGAAAUCCUGGAGCUUAACUCCAGAACUGCCUUUGAUACUAUCUAUCUUGAAUAUGGUGGAGGUAAGCGGAAUAUGUCAUGUAGCGGUGAAAUGCAUAGAUAUGACAUAGAACACCUAUUGCGAAGGCAGCUUACUACGCCUAUAUUGACGCUGAGGCACGAAAGCGUGGGGAUCAAACAGGAUUAGAUACCCGUGUAGUC
rnacentral:rRNA from 1 species